GAUGAACGCUAGCGGCAGGCUUAACACAUGCAAGUCGAGGGGUAACGAUAGUGCUUGCACUAGGCGACGACCGGCGCACGGGUGAGUAACGCGUAUGCAACCUACCUCAAACAGGGGGAUAGCUCGGGGAAACUCGAAUUAAUACCCCAUAUUUUACAUUAUUCGCAUGUUUAAUGUAAGAAAGUUACGGCGGUUUGAGAUGGGCAUGCGUGCCAUUAGAUAGUUGGUGUGGUAACGGCACACCAAGUCGAUGAUGGCUACGGGGUCUAAAAGGAUGGUCCCGCACACUGGUACUGAGACACGGACCAGACUCCUACGGGAGGCAGCAGUGGGGAAUAUUGGUCAAUGGACGCAAGUCUGAACCGGCCAUGCCGCGUGAAGGAAGACUGCCCUAUGGGUUGUAAACUUCUUUUAUACAGGAAUAAUCAUAGAUACGUGUAUUUAUUUGAAUGUACUGUAUGAAUAAGCAUCGGCUAACUCCGUGCCAGCAGCCGCGGUAAUACGGAGGAUGCAGGCGUUAUCCGGAUUUAUUAGGUUUAAAGGGUGCGCAGGCGGAAUAUUAAGUCAGUGGCGAAAGUCUUCAGCUUAACUGGAAAAUUGCCAUUGAUACUGAUGUUCUAGAGUAUGGUAGAGGUAGGCGGAAUGUGUAGUGUAGCGGUGAAAUGCUUAGAUAUUACACAGAACACCGAUUGCGAAGGCAGCUUACUAUCCCAUAACUGACGCUGAGGCACGAAAGCGUGGGGAGCGAACAGGAUUAGAUACCCUGGUAGUCCACGCCGUAAACGAUGAUAACUGGUUGUGCACGAUACACAGUGCGUGACUGAGGGAAACCAUUAAGUUAUCCACCUGGGGAGUACGUUGGCAACAAUGAAACUCAAAGGAAUUGACGGGGGCCCGCACAAGCGGAGGAACAUGUGGUUUAAUUCGAUGAUACGCGAGGAACCUUACCUGGGCUUAAAUGUAGAGUGCAUUAUUUAGAAAUAGAUAUUUCCUUCGGGACUCUUUACAAGGUGCUGCAUGGUUGUCGUCAGCUCGUGCCGUGAGGUGUCGGGUUAAGUCCCAUAACGAGCGCAACCCCUAUCGUUAGUUGCUAGCAGGUCAAGCUGAGGACUCUAACGAGACUGCCGGUGUAAACCGCGAGGAAGGUGGGGAUGACGUCAAAUCAGCACGGCCCUUAUGUCCAGGGCUACACACGUGUUACAAUGGUCAAUACAAAGGGCAGCUACUUGGCAACAAGAUGCAAAUCUCAAAAGUUGAUCACAGUUCGGAUUGGAGUCUGCAACUCGACUCCAUGAAGUUGGAUUCGCUAGUAAUCGUAUAUCAGCAAUGAUACGGUGAAUACGUUCCCGGGCCU
rnacentral:rRNA from 1 species